CCGCUCAGAGGUAAACGGGUGGAGUUGAACUGCAAGCUCCGAGGAUUCAGCUGGUGAGAUUGGCAUGAGCUUGGUCAUGUGGGUUGUAUGUUCGGGUCUGCUUAGCUGCAGGUCCUCGCCUUUGGUGGGGAUGCGCGUAUCGCUUAUCAAGCGUUGUGCGCCCGGGCUUCUCGAGCCUUCUCGCUAGUGCACUUUCUCGGAGUGUUCACCACGACCGGCGUUGCUGUCUGGCUGGUGCGGUUAAACCGGUCUUGUAGGGUCCUCGUGGCCUUGCUUGGUCGGGAUGGCAGGUAGCCCGUUGUGUACUUCGGUGUGCUUCGGGUGUAAUAGCCGACUGCAUCGGUUCUGUGCGGUACGUCGGAGACGGCGGCUUGUUGUGCGUGCGGGCGUGCCUGUUGCGCUGGCGGCUCUGAGUCUGGUUGCCUUGUUGCUUGUAAAUGCAGGCCUGGUGAUGGCUCGGGGUCGUUUGGUGUGCGGUUGCGUUCGUGGCACUUUAAAGGGCCUAAAGUCUGUGGUGUAGUGGUAGACUAUCCACCUGACCCGU
rnacentral:rRNA from 1 species